GUGGGGAAUAUUGCGCAAUGGGCGAAAGCCUGACGCAGCGACGCCGCGUGAAGGAAGAAGGUUUUCGGAUCGUAAACUUCUAUCCUUGGUGAAGAUAAUGACGGUAGCCAAGAAGGAAGCCCCGGCUAACUACGUGCCAGCAGCCGCGGUAAUACGUAGGGGGCAAGCGUUGUCCGGAAUGAUUGGGCGUAAAGGGCGCGUAGGCGGCCUGGUAAGUCUGGAGUGAAAGUCCUGCUUUUAAGGUGGGAAUUGCUUUGGAUACUGUCGGGCUUGAGUGCAGGAGCGGUAAGCGGAAUUCCCGGUGUAGCGGUGAAAUGCGUAGAGAUCGGGAGGAACACCAGUGGCGAAGGCGGCUUACUGGACUGUAACUGACGCUGAGGCGCGAAAGUGUGGGGAGCAAACAGGAUUAGAUACCCGAGUAGUCC
rnacentral:rRNA from 1 species